rnacentral:misc_RNA from 1 species
UGGACUACUGGGGUUUCUAAUCCUGUUUGAUACCCACACUUUCGAGCCUCAAUGUCAGUUGCAGCUUAGCAGGCUGCCUUCGCAAUCGGAGUUCUUCGUGAUAUCUAAGCAUUUCACCGCUACACCACGAAUUCCGCCUGCCUCAACUGCACUCAAGAUAUCCAGUAUCAACUGCAAUUUUACGGUUGAGCCGCAAACUUUCACAACUGACUUAAACAUCCAUCUACGCUCCCUUUAAACCCAAUAAAUCCGGAUAACGCUCGGAUCCUCCGUAUUACCGCGGCUGCUGGCACGGAGUUAGCCGAUCCUUAUUCAUAAAGUACAUGCAAACGGGUAUCCAUACCCGACUUUAUUCCUUUAUAAAAGAAGUUUACAACCCAUAGGGCAGUCAUCCUUCACG